rnacentral:rRNA from 1 species
GAUGAACGCUAGCGGCGGGCUUAAUACAUGCAAGUCGAACGGGAUUCGGUGUAGCAAUACAUUGAUGAGAGUGGCGCACGGGUGCGUAACGCGUAUGCAACCUACCUUUAACAGGUGAAUAGCCCCGAGAAAUCGGGAUUAAUACACCGUAACAUUGCGGGAUGGCAUCAUUCUGCAAUUAAAGAUUUAUCGGUUAAAGAUGGGCAUGCGUGACAUUAGCUAGUUGGUGAGGUAACGGCUCACCAAGGCGACGAUGUCUAGGGGUCCUGAGAGGGUUACUCCCCACACUGGUACUGAGACACGGACCAGACUCCUACGGGAGGCAGCAGUAAGGAAUAUUGGU